rnacentral:lncRNA from 1 species
AGGCUGGCGGCGUCAGAGAGGCCGAGGAGGUGCUCCACCGAGUCGAAUUUCUGCAGGUCGGAGGCGAUGGUUUGGAGGCUGAGCACCGAGAGGGCGUCCGGCGGGGGUCCCUCGGCCCCCAGCAACCCCCCGGCGGCGUUGGAGGCGGCGGGCGUGGAUCUGCUCGCUGAUCUGCUCCAGGUUGCGCAGGGCCACGGCGUAGCGGGUCUUGGCCCGCGCCACCCGGGCCUCCAGCGCCGUCACCGCCGCCUUGUGCUCCUGGGGAGGACAGGGAGAGGGAGGGAGAGGGAGGCCGGGGCGGUGGGGACCGCGGGGGGAGGUUUUCGGGGGGGUUUGGGGAGGAAGAGGAGGAGGAGGGGAGAUGGAGGAGGCCAUGAGGAGGAGGAGGAGGAGGAGAGGAGGAGGAGGUCAAAGGGAGAAGGAGGAGGCUGAAGGGAAAAGGAGGCCAGUGAGG